UUAAUCAGUAGAGGCGCGCUGCCUAAUAGUAACCGAGCGGAGGAUGAUCCCGAUGAUGCCGGAGAAAGGAGUCAGCGCCGAAGUCACUUGAGCCGUCAUGCUCAGUGGCUGGGUCUGUGUCGAAUAGGCACAGAACUGCCAUAGUAUUUGUCCUAUGGAGCGCUACCUGAAGG
rnacentral:ncRNA from 1 species